GAUGAAGAACGUAGCGAAAUGCGAUAAGUAAUGUGAAUUGCAGAAUUCAGUGAAUCGUCGAAUCUUUGAACGCACAUUGCGCCCGCCAGUAUUCUGGCGGGCAUGCCUGUCUGAGCGUCAUUUCAACCCUCAUGCCCCUAGGGCGUGGUGUUGGGGAUCGGCCAAAGCCCGCGAGGGACGGCCGGCCCCUAAAUCUAGUGGCGGACCCGUCGUGGCCUCCUCUGCGAAGUAGUGAUAUUCCGCAUCGGAGAGCGAUGAGCCCCUGCCGUUAAACCCCCAACUUUCCAAGGUUGACCUCAGAUCAGGUAGGAAUACCCGCUGAACUUAAGCAUAUCAAUAAGCGGAGGA
rnacentral:misc_RNA from 1 species